UUUAAGGUUUUUGAGGAUGGGCUUUUUUGGGUUUUUACAUGCUUGUGUUUGUGGCUUCUUUUUGCUCUUCGGGUAGGGUUUUUUGUUUUUAUUUUUACUAGAUUUUGUCAAACUUGGGAAAUGAUGAAUGUAUGUAUGAUCUAUCUAUGUUUUGCUAAAGUUUGGAUUAUAACUUUAUGUUUCAACUCGUAGUCUAGUUACGUUGUUUAUCUUGCAUGUGAG
rnacentral:lncRNA from 1 species